rnacentral:rRNA from 1 species
UGAACGCUGGCGGUAGGCCUAACACAUGCAAGUCGAACGGCAGCACAGUAAGAGCUUGCUCUUACGGGUGGCGAGUGGCGGACGGGUGAGGAAUACAUCGGAAUCUACUUUUUCGUGGGGGAUAACGUAGGGAAACUUACGCUAAUACCGCAUACGACCUACGGGUGAAAGCAGGGGAUCUUCGGACCUUGCGCGAUUGAAUGAGCCGAUGUCGGAUUAGCUAGUUGGCGGGGUAAAGGCCCACCAAGGCGACGAUCCGUAGCUGGUCUGAGAGGAUGAUCAGCCACACUGGAACUGAGACACGGUCCAGACUCCUACGGGAGGCAGCAGUGGGGAAUAUUGGACAAUGGGCGCAAGCCUGAUCCAGCCAUACCGCGUGGGUGAAGAAGGCCUUCGGGUUGUAAAGCCCUUUUGUUGGGAAAGAAAAGCAGCAGGUUAAUACCCCGCUGUUCCGACGGUACCCAAAGAAUAAGCACCGGCUAACUUCGUG